UGGGGAAUAUUGGACAAUGGGCGAAAGCCUGAUCCAGCCAUGCCGCGUGUGUGAAGAAGGUCUUCGGAUUGUAAAGCACUUUACGUUGGGAGGAAUGGCAGUAAGCGAAUACCUUGCUGUUUUGACGUUACCGACAGAAUAAGCACCGGCUAACUCUGUGCCAGCAGCCGCGGUAAUACAGAGGGUGCAAGCGUUAAUCGGAAUUACUGGGCGUAAAGCGCGCGUAGGUGGUUCGUUAAGUUGAAUGUGAAAGCCCCGGGCUCAACCUGGGAACUGCAUCCAAAACUGGCGAGCUAGAGUAGGGCAGAGGGUGGUGGAAUUUCCUGUGUAGCGGUGAAAUGCGUAGAUAUAGGAAGGAACACCAGUGGCGAAGGCGACCACCUGGGCUCAUACUGACACUGAGGUGCGAAAGCGUGGGGAGCAAACAGG
rnacentral:rRNA from 1 species